CUAAGAAAGUCUCACCCAUUUGCACAUGUCUAUACUGCAUUUUUGAAUAAUGAACUUGAUCUGAUAUUUCCAUAACAUCUGAAAUACAACUUUCCCAACUUAUGGACUUUUACUGCGAACAUGCUGAUAUUACAGGAGACAAAUCUUCAAUCAAACUGACCUUUCCCUUGAGCUGCAUGAGAAGCGUGACGCCGUCCAUGGGCAACAUCGAUAAAGAGAAAGUCAUUUUCUUCCAUCAGUGUCAAAUCAGUCUCGGGGAUACAUGCAUCAUCAGUUCGGGCAAAUUAAAAUUGAUUGACGGGGGCUCUGGGUCCCGCCUCUGGACGCCUGAUGCCUGAAUCUACCAAACAACUCGGGGACAAUUUUAUUUGAGAUAUUUGUAACCAUGGAUAUGGAGUCAAGCAUUCACACCCAUAAACUAAGCUUUGCUACUAAACUUGUGUGCUGCUAAACUUAUACUGAAGCACGGCCAAUAAAUGGUUAGGUUAUAAAGCUUGAUGUGCAAGACUUUUAUGACGGACACUCAGCUUGGACAUCCCCUCUGUCAGGAUCUGGCCCUGUCAGCCCUGUCAUGUUCCUAUUUGGCCACCAGAUGUCACUGACCAUCUCGUAUUUCCCCACUAUAUUUAAUUGUCUCCAUCCCUAAUGUGUUAAUCGCUCACACCUGUCUCUCUUGUUAUCUGUGUUUAUAGAUGCCUGCCCUUGCCCUGUUCUUCAGUUCAGUUAUUAUAGCUGUUGUGAAUGUUAAGCAUGCUUAGUGUUUGUAGUUCUGGCCCCUGUCGUGCGCCCCAGGUGUCUGAUUGCCCUGUUUCUGCCUAGUUAUUCCACCAUGCAUUCUCUUUGACCUCUUGCGGUCCUUUUAUUUUAAUUGGUGGCUAUUUUGAUUUAAUAAAUAAAUCCUUUGAGUCCUGGAA